rnacentral:lncRNA from 1 species
GUGCUGCGCUUGGCUGGCUGUGGAGUCGGCCGAAGCUUUCGGCGGCGGCUGAGCCAGCUGAGGGGAAAAAUGGCUCGGACUGUGGCGGCUUCGGCGGCUCAGGUUGUGGUAGAGGCGGAGGCUCAGGCAGCUUGAGGAGAAUCGCUUGAACCCAGGAGGCGGAGGUUGCAGUGAGCCGAGAUCACGCCACUGCACUGGAAUUUCGACGCAAGCUGGCGUCAGCCUCAAAUUCCCGCUCUGGCAACAAGGCUGACCAAAGACCGAUGCAUGCCGGGAUGAGGCUGGAUUGACGAUCUCUUGCGACGCUGAAAUGCAUUUCGGGAGAUGUAGUCACACAGACGGGCGGUGGCUGCGCAGCGUAGCUCCGCCUCCUGCGUGAGAGGAAGCGG